CAAAACAUGGGCGGGACGUGUAAUGCUGGACUGACUCUGAGAGCUGGACAGAAAGAAGGGAAGGAGCAGACGUGUCCCAGGAGAUGUUGAAUUGCCUUUGGAUAGAAAUUAAGCUAUAAUAACACGCAAAAAGGCGGCAUUGGUUUUCAUUAUCAAAUAAAGUCACGUUAAACUAUUUGGAUGUGAAAGAAGAAGAAGGUGAAGGUGUCAAAACACAUUUUGCGUUAAAAAGGGACUGCUUCACUGGGAGGGAGAAGCUGAGAGCUGCUGGGAGCCCGAACGCAGGAACAAGCUCUCAAAAGUUCAGACACAUUGGCUACUUCCCUCUGCUGGAGAGAACCAAGAUUCCUUCUGGAUGGACGGUCCAACCUACUGAGAGAUCCCUCUGAGGUCUAGGAGACUUCCAGAGGUGCCAGUCAGGCCAGUUCAGUGUUUGAUGCUGUGGAGUGCUUCUAAAUUAACCUCAGCACUGGAUAAAGGAAGAUACACAACCGAGGAUCUGAACUAUGCAAACCAAGAUGCUGAGGUCAAGAUUUCCAGAAACCAAGAUUUCUGGUCUGUCCUGCUGCCCCUGGAAAACAUUUUCAGCCUUUGUGCCGUGGUUACUUUCUUGAUUAAAUACAGAAGUUGUCUGCAUGCUCAUAAACCUCCAGGGGAGGAGGAGAACCACUGAGUUUUAAAGAGUUUUCAAAGCAUAAGAUGGCCUUAUUUCCUCUCAUGAUUCUCAGAACUCUCUCCUAAUUUCCCGUCAAAAAACUGCCACAUUAAUCAAAUUGCAGCCUGCAUGGCAAAAUGUGAUCUUGCCAGUUUCUGUGUCUGUAACUGUUUAGUGCUCCUUCAACUGAAUUCUGAGAGCCCAGUUCAAAUGAGUAAAUCUUUUUACAUUCAGUUCAUCUUCAAGGUUGGUAGAGCUUUGCCAUGCCCAAUACAGUGGUACAGAAAAAUCUUCUUAGUAGGAGAAGAGAUAUAUACCACGUACAUUCAUUACCUUUUAACCACCCAAGUCCACUGGAUUGCCUGAAACAAAACAGAAAUUACCCAGGCAGGAACACCUGAUCAAUAUGUGGAGGAAAUUCCUGUGUUUUCACAGAAGUUGCAAGAGAAGGGGAGAGACAAGAGAGAUGAGAGAAGCAGAUUUUGUUGCUUUAGAAAAGGACAAUGAAGGUGUUCAAAAGAAAUGCUAAGUAGGACAAGAAAAGUAGGGAACUUGAAAACAAAACAAAACAAAAAAACCCCACCUCUGUUUACAAGAGAUCCCCAAAAGAGAGAGCAUAAAACAAUCACUGAAGUGUAGAGUUACUUGGGUGACUGGUCUAGCAUUUGCUCACUUAAUGUUUGCAAGGAGCAAAACUCAGAACGGUUUUUGUCAGAAACACAGUGUUUGGGGCAUCUUGCCUCUCUCCAGGAAUUUGCUGUUGAUUCAGAGUUUCACAAGUAGCUCUUCCAGUAACACAAAUAGUCAUGGAAAAAUGCUAAAAGAGUCCUUUCCCCCUUGCCCUCUGACUCUUUUUAAUUGCUCACUGGAAACUUUUUACACUAUCCAUCACACAAGUCCUGUCAAACCUCCCUUCCGAACAAAGCUGGGUUCCCUGCAGUUCCCUUAGGAAAGAGACAAGUUCAAUGUUUGUUCCCACGGAGCAUUUUGGUGACCUCCACUCCCUGAAGUAUUCCUCUUCAUUUGAUCUGCAACCAGCUUGCCUCAACACGAGCGUCUGGGGAAGAGCACAGGAGCUGGAGAUAACCUGGCACCUGGUAGCCACUCUCCUCCCUUCCCACCGAAAUCAAAACCCAGCUCUUGGCAACAGCAGAGGCUCCUGAGAGGCGAAGAGGUGACCGAGGUUCAUAGUCCUUCAUUAACAGGUUGUGCAGUGGCGACAGCCUGCUGGCAGCAGUGCACGAGGGCUGUGCAAGGCCUGCGUCACAGCAUCACACAGAAUGGAAUGGAAUGGAAGGGACCUCUGGAGAUCAUCUAGUCCAACACACCUGCUGAAGCAAGUUCACCUAGAGCAGAUCGCACAGGAACACGUCCAGGUGGCUUUUGAACGUCUUCAGAGAAGGGAACUCCACAACCUCUCUGGGCAACCUGUUACAGUCCUCUGUCAAGCUCUUGACACCCACCCUUGAGAUAUUUAUAAGCAUAAAUAAAAUCCCCUCUCAGCCUUCUCUUCUCCAUCGUCUCCCUGCGGGUAACCAUGAGCCCCUGCAGCCGUGGCCCUGGCCCAUUGUGGCAGCCUUUUAGCCCUCCUGACUGAGGAAAAGCUCAUGAAGACCAGAGGUCUUCCAACCCCCUAGCAGAUGUAUUAGCCCUGCAGCAAAACCCUGUCAGCCCUUCCCUUGGCCAUGAAGAAAAAAAAAGUGUGUCUUCCAGGUGGGCAGCUCAUACACACAUAACCAACCCUCUCCUGGAGAGAAGUGAGCCCAGAGCGUACCAACAACCAAAUAAGUGCAUGAGGACAAGAAGAGUCAUGGCUAGGGCACAGAUAAGGUGCCUGGAUGUCUCCUGCUGCCUUUGAGUGGACACUGUGCCAAAUCAACAUUUGAGGGCGGUUUUUACUUUUAUCCAGGAUCGUCUUGCCAGGUUACCCAGCAGACCAGUUGGUGUUUCUGCAAGAGAGCUAUGUCUGGAAAUUUCGAGCUUUUCUUUCUGAUAUUUUGGGGAACAGAAGCUGACCAGAUGCCUGUUGGAUGCUCAAUAGACACAGUCUUCCCUGUAAGUGGGCACAGCAUCACUGCGUGGCCAUACCAUAGGUCCAACUCUUGCUGGCAGCACUGUCAGUGUAAAGGUAAUAAAGAAGCAGGCACCCAUAUUCGGCUGAGUGAGCAAAGGAACGUGUUUGGUGUUCCAGGUCAGACAACGACAAGUGGGUAACCCCAAAUUAGAAGCAGGUGAUUAAACUGUGCAGCCAGAAAGCAUGACUAUAACGCCAAGAAGCCAGCAAUUUAACACCACAGGAGGAUAAUUGUGUAAGACUUCAGGCCAUAUUAGUUUCAGCACAGACUGACCCUCACCCAGGGAUGACAAAGCGCCAACAGCUCCAAGCACAAUGACUGACAGAACUGGGACAUGGCAAAUUGCACUUUCGAAGCCUGCUGCAGAAAAAGAGCUGGGGUUAAAACUUUGCAUUAAAACCAGUCACAUACUAUAUUCUUAGAACAAGGGAUAAAGUAGGACAGCACACAACUAAGUUACCUUCUAAACCAUUUCACUUGAAACGUUUUCCAUCCUCCUCUUAUUCUCCUUUUCUAGUCUGUAAAAGACAGUUGUCUGUACAACUAGUGUAGCAUUACUUUUAUUUUUACACUGUACUACAGAUUUGUACUCAAUUAAAGAGACUUUGCUACCUGCCAAUAUCA